rnacentral:rRNA from 1 species
UGGGGAAUAUUGGACAAUGGGCGCAAGCCUGAUCCAGCCAUUCCGCGUGAGUGAUGAAGGCCCUAGGGUUGUAAAGCUCUUUCACCGGUGAAGAUAAUGACGGUAACCGGAGAAGAAGCCCCGGCUAACUUCGUGCCAGCAGCCACGGUAAUACGAAGGGGGCUAGCGUUGUUCGGAUUUACUGGGCGUAAAGCGCACGUAGGCGGAGUUUUAAGUCAGGGGUGAAUUCCCGGGGCUCAACCCCGGAACUGCCUUUGAUACUGGAAGUCUUGAGUAUGGUGGAGGUGAGGGGAAUUCCGAGUGUGGAGGGGAAAUUCGAAGAUAUUCGGAGGAACACCAGUGGCGAAGGCGGCUCACUGGACCAGUACGGACGCUGAGGUGCGAAAGCGUGGGGAGCAAACAGG